rnacentral:rRNA from 3 species
AAAUUGAAGAGUUUGAUCAUGGCUCAGAUUGAACGCUGGCGGCAGGCCUAACACAUGCAAGUCGAACGGUAACAGGAAGCAGCUUGCUGCUUUGCUGACGAGUGGCGGACGGGUGAGUAAUGUCUGGGAAACUGCCUGAUGGAGGGGGAUAACUACUGGAAACGGUGGCUAAUACCGCAUAACGUCGCAAGACCAAAGAGGGGGACCUUCGGGCCUCUUGCCAUCAGAUGUGCCCAGAUGGGAUUAGCUAGUUGGUGAGGUAACGGCUCACCAAGGCGACGAUCCCUAGCUGGUCUGAGAGGAUGGCCAGCCACACUGGAACUGAGACACGGUCCAGACUCCUACGGGAGGCAGCAGUGGGGAAUAUUGCACAAUGGGCGCAAGCCUGAUGCAGCCAUGCCGCGUGUAUGAAGAAGGCCUUCGGGUUGUAAAGUACUUUCAGCGGGGAGGAAGGUGUUGUGGUUAAUAACCUCAGCAAUUGACGUUACCC